rnacentral:rRNA from 1 species
UCCAGACUCCUACGGGAGGCAGCAGUGAGGAAUAUUGGUCAAUGGGCGGAAGCCUGAACCAGCCAAGUCGCGUGAGGGAAGAAGGCCCUGCGGGUCGCAGACCUCUUUGGACGGGGAGCAAGGCCGCCGACGUGUCGGCGGAAGGAGAGUACCCGUAGAACAAGCAUCGGCUAACUACGUGCCAGCAGCCGCGGUAAUACGUAGGGGGCGAGCGUUAUCCGGAAUUACUGGGUGUAAAGGGAGCGUAGACGGCGUGGUAAGCCUGAAGUGGAAGCCCGCGGCCCAACCGCGGAACUGCUUUGGGAGCUGUUUUGCUGGAGUAUGGGAGGGGUAAGCGGAAUUCCUGGUGUAGCGGUGAAAUGCGUAGAUAUCAGGAGGAACACCGGUGGCGAAGGCGGCUUACUGGACCAUAACUGACGUUGAGGCUCGAAAGCGUGGGGAGCGAACAGGAUUAGAUACCCCCGUA